GUCAGGAUGGUGAGUGGUCUAAGGCGCCAGAUUUAAGCUCUGGUGCACGAAAGAGAGCAUGGCUUCGAACCCUACUUCUGACA